rnacentral:lncRNA from 1 species
AUGCCCAGCAGACCGUGCCUCUCCCCGCCUUGCUCUCGCCGCUCUGGCUGCAACAUGUGCCGGCUGCCCGUGCUCCCGAGCGCCGGGGCAGGGACUCGGCGCCCGCGUGCUUUAACCCCACCCUGCCGCCUCCUGUCACCUCCCAUUCAGGCAACAGAAAAAAACCCAGCCCUAAAAAACCCCAAAUUUAUGUCUCCGGCCGUUCGCCCCUCGCCGCCAGCUCACAGCGGUCACUACGCAAAUAAGCGAGAGGCGACGGGGAAGGAAAAACCCAAGACCUGGAAAACCACGGGGGGUUGAUGAGCCUACGAAUCCUAGCCAGACGUCCCUGUUGAAACAAACCAAAGGAAACUCUCAGGAACCCAGGAUGCUGACUGGAAUAAAACAUUGAUAGGUGUGCUGCUGCAGCAAAGAGAGCACAUCUUGUCGUGGGCAGAUCAAUAGCAACCAGCAGACAGAUUUACAGUUCCCAUGGACUGUGAACCUCUCAGCUUUUCGUCCUGCACAGAAUGAAAACGAACACGUGCCAUUUGUUUCUAUUUUUAGCACCUGCAUUCUCAAUCCAGUAUAAGGAGAGGCCCGACCAAAGGAAUUGUCUCAAUGUCACCUGGCACAAUCACUUAAAAAUUGUUUUCAUUGCAAAGGGAGGGGUAAGUAUGUCCCUGUGAUCCAUGAAAAUACACGUUAUUCACUACCACUUUACAGCACUCAUUUUUACCAAGAUUCAAUAGCUGAUGUGCACAGCCAUAAAUAUAACUGUUUUGGGAAACAGCAUCAGUACCCACAGCACAUCCCCAGCUCCCCAUACUCUGUGUGUUCAAUAUUGGAUGCCAAUAGGAAACGUGCUGUGUCUCUUGGAGCUGCUCUACAAUCUUAGCUCAGGAGUCUGGAAGAAACGUCCCCAUUCACAGUGCAUUGGGAGAGACGUUGCAUAUUUCAUCCCUCUUCAAAUAUUUAUAUAUGUACUUCACGUUUGAGUAAAGCUGUCCUUUUCAUCAGAGCGGGAAGAUUACAGCAAAGGCAGGAAUUACCCUAAAUCAGCAAACAUCAUUGUCCAUUAAGUAACACAAGGGUUUGAAAGGAGAUUUGAGUGUCUGGCAGCCAGGAGCUCGGCUCCACCGCACAGGAGAUUUCAUAAUGAUAUGUUUUGAGAUCAACUGGAAAAAAAAAAACAACAAACAAAAACCAAAAAUCAACUAGAACAGUGUAUCUCGUAACACUGGGUGCUGAGGAGCCUGGAAAAACAUGUUGAAGCUUAUAAGGGUUGGUCAGUGGUGAAAUGGUCUGUUGCCUUUGGGGGACAGACAUUUGUCCCUCCUUCCACUCCCAUACCCAGGUUGUGCCUGCUCCUGUGCAAUCACAGCGACUCGGCUGGUCACGGGGCUGCCUUUGGAAACCUUCACGAGGGGAGGUGUUUUAAUCCAGAUGUGUUCCUUGAUCCAGUUGGCAGCCAGGCCUCAAAAGCUAGCUGAAAGCAGGAAAAUACCCAGAACCAACGUUGCCAUUGCCCACAGCAUGUUUCAAACCACUGCCUGACUGUGAUGCCCCUGCUGUGCUCAGAGCAGCUGCGCCCUAAAGACCCCAGGGGAAGUGAGGCCGGGGCUCACUUUGCAGCCCUGCUCUCCCAAGCAGGCCACACAACCUUGCCUGGAUCCAAAUCCAUGCAUCAUGCCAGGCAAAGCCCUAAGCCCGGGGAUGUUUCUUACCUGGUGCUGCCAAUUAACAGGUCCUGGAUGGGGCAGGACAGCAGGGAUCACAUCUAAGCACAGCUGUACAACCUCUCCUGGAUGGCUGCUCAUGCUUGGAUGAAACCAAGGGAGGCUUGGAAAAUGUGUGAUUAAAGGUGUUCUGCAGUUUGCUUCGACAGAAGGAGCAGCAGGAUUUUCAUGUUCCAGGUCUGUAAAGCCAAGCUUUGUGACACACCCAGCAGUAAAUCAUUGCACUUUUUUUUCCCCUCCUGAGAAAGAGAGCAAAUCCUUUUGACUGCAGCAACUUUAAUUUGGCCUGAAUCUGGAAUAACUUUUCUGCCUGCGUAUUCAAAAACAGCACCUUCACUCAGCAUCAUGAUGCAAAUUAUUAGAUGCAGUGUGCAGCUCUUGUCAGGGAGUUGCAGAGCACCAAACAUUUCCCAGGAGCUGGGUACUGGGAGGUUGUGUGUUCAGGGCAUCGGUGUCACGUCACUUGGUGACACAAGUUCUUGUUGCCCGAGUUUUUCCAUAAGGUAGCGUGGCAUGAAUGACAGCCAGAAAAGAGAAUCUUUUAAAAAUAUUCAAACCUCAUUUUUUAUCAAGUUAAAAAUAAUUUCUGCUUUUUUCCCCAGGCUAUUUAUUCACAGUAUUUGGGUCCACUGUAAUAAAAGCUGACCUGGGGACUGCUGCGUUUAUGUACAUUGGCCUUUUUUCUAGCAUUUGUCUGUUAAUUAAUAAUUGGUACAUUGCCAGGAGAGAAGGAGAAGUAGGAAUGAGAUUCAGGUUAUAAAAUCUUCAAGGUUAUCUUGCUGUCCCUGCAGCAAAGCAAGAGCAAGAGGAGCGGGACAGAGCCAAGGUGCUGAGAGAAGGGGAGCGGCCGUGGGGCACUCGCCCCAGGGGCCCUGUGCUGCAUUCCCGGGGGAGCCACAUCCCAGCACUCCCGGAGCCAUCGCGGUGGCUGCAGGCACAUCCUCCCCCAGCUACGGGAAAGCAGCAGGCACAGGAUUUUCCCUGUGUGUUGCCGGGAUUCCCGGGUACCUGCCCACAGCCACCCUUGUGAAUGUGGCUAGCUCGUCCCCCACAGCAGCUCAGCACAAGGACCAGCACCCAGCUCCUCAGAAACACGGAGUAGCUCCUUUCCUGUGAGUCUGGCAUGGCUGGCAGUCACUGGCAUUAUGGAAGUGCUUGUCCCAGAGCCCUCACACUGUAUCCAGAAGGUGCACCCGCGUCUCUUAGCCCCUGCUCCAAAAUGUGCACCCACUCCCUUGUGCUGAAAAUGCUACAGGCACACAGGGACUGAAACACUUCCCCAUCUCCCUCCUGUGAACAUUCACUUGGCUCUCCUGAGUCAAAACCCUUCCAUAAGGCCAGGACAGCUGGAAUUAAUUUUCUGUGCUGGACCAAAGCUUAUCCAGGAUACCGAUCUGCCUGUUUUUUGUGGAGAGAUUGGUGUGGCUAGAGGACACCUGGAAAGCACAGGACUAACCUGAGCAUGCUUCUGCGACCAAAGAGGAUAAGAACAGGAGAUAAGAGGUUAAAAAUUAAAUAAUAACAGGAGACUAAAGAUUGCUCCUGUGGCAUGUGAGCACUUCAGCAAUGAUAAGAAAAAAAUAAAAAAAGCAAAUGUGACAUGCGAUUGGAGCUGGAGUAUCUCAGUUCCUCCAGGAAUUAACCUGUUUUUUCCCAGCCAAAUGUUUGAGCCCGUGUAGGUUACGGACGGGAGAUCUCUGAAGUCAGAUCUUGGAACAUGCGGUUUAUUGCAAAGGGCGUGGGUAUAGGGGCACUGCUUAGAGCUGCAGCUGGCAGCUCUGAGCAGGCCCAAGAGAGCAAGAGAGUAAGCAAGUAAGUAAGGAGAGAGAGAGAGAGUGUAAGAGUGUGCGAAGAGUAAGAGAGGAGUGGAAUGGAAUGGAAUGGAAUGGAAUGGAAUGGAAUGGAAUGGACUCGUGAAGUCCUGGUUACAAUACAAUAAAUCAUCUUCUGUACUGAAUAUUCUAAUUGUCACUAACCAAUCUAAUACAAGAUACAAAUCCUAUAGCAUUUACAUACAGCCUAUAAGAGUUCUUAUAUUACCAUAGAGUGUUACAUCUUAACUUCUAAAAACUACUCUUUGGACCCCU